AAGUCGUAACAAGGUUUCCGUAGGUGAACCUGCGGAAGGAUCAUUAACACGUAUCCACGUAUCUACCUCUUGCGAACUUGUUUUGUUUUGUAGUCGUGCUCAGGUAUUUUAUAAAGGAAGUAGAUGGCCAUGUCAGGAGAAAAAAUUCAUUUUUUUUUCUUGUUCUACUUGCCUUCCACCCAAUGUUUUGAGUGCUGGUGUAUUGAGAUCCUGUGAUGCCUUUUGUGGGCGUCCACAGUUUCCUACUAGCAGAACGCUCCUUGGGAUGGGUAUCUGGCGUGACUCGAAUCAUGGUGGUUAUUCACUAUUAACCCCUUUUUUUUAAAAUUUUUGUCUCAGUGUGAGUGGGUGGUGCCGCUUUGCGGUGCGCCCUCCUCAUCAAAAAAAAAUAACAAAGAUACAACUCUUAGCAACGGAUAUCUAGGUUCU
rnacentral:misc_RNA from 1 species